GGGCGCAAGCCUGAUGCAGCAACGCCGCGUGAGGGACGACGGCCUUCGGGUUGUAAACCUCUUUUAGCAGGGAAGAAGCGAAAGUGACGGUACCUGCAGAAAAAGCACCGGCUAACUACGUGCCAGCAGCCGCGGUAAUACGUAGGGUGCAAGCGUUAUCCGGAAUUAUUGGGCGUAAAGAGCUCGUAGGCGGUUUGUCGCGUCUGCUGUGAAAACCCGAGGCUCAACCUCGGGCCUGCAGUGGGUACGGGCAGACUAGAGUGCGGUAGGGGAGAUUGGAAUUCCUGGUGUAGCGGUGGAAUGCGCAGAUAUCAGGAGGAACACCGAUGGCGAAGGCAGAUCUCUGGGCCGUAACUGACGCUGAGGAGCGAAAGCGUGGGGAGCGAACAGGAUUAGAUACCCUGGUAGUCCACGCCGUAAACGUUGGGAACUAGAUGUGGGGGCCAUUCCACGGCUUCCGUGUCGCAGCUAACGCAUUAAGUUCCCCGCCUGGGGAGUACGGCCGCAAGGCUA
rnacentral:rRNA from 1 species